GACGAACGCUGGCGGCGUGCUUAACACAUGCAAGUCGAACGGAAAGGCCCUGCUUUUGUGGGGUGCUCGAGUGGCGAACGGGUGAGUAACACGUGAGUAACCUGCCCUUGACUUUGGGAUAACUUCAGGAAACUGGGGCUAAUACCGGAUAGGAGCUCCUGCUGCAUGGUGGGGGUUGGAAAGUUUCGGCGGUUGGGGAUGGACUCGCGGCUUAUCAGCUUGUUGGUGGGGUAGUGGCUUACCAAGGCUUUGACGGGUAGCCGGCCUGAGAGGGUGACCGGCCACAUUGGGACUGAGAGACGGCCCAGACUCCUACGGGAGGCAGCAGUGGGGAAUAUUGCACAAGGGGCGGAAGCCUGAUGCAGCAACGCCGCGUGCGGGAUGACGGCCUUCGGGUUGUAAACCGCUUUCGCCUGUGACGAAGCGUGAGUGACGGUAAUGGGUAAAGAAGCACCGGCUAACUACGU
rnacentral:rRNA from 1 species